CGUUGGGCAAGUUUUUUUUUUUUUUGGGGUAAACGAGAGUGAUGAAAAAAAAAAUAUGUGACUAAAAACGUUGCGUUUUGAAGACAAGGUAGCCACGUGUACCGCAUGACGAGCGCAUUUGCUGCUCUUGCGUUGCCUUCCCCUGCGGAUUGAACUAUUGUAGAAAGAGCUCUAAACCCCCACUCUCCAUCAUCUUUGAACUCUGUCGUCGACAUAUCAAAACCUUAAAACUGGUUCUCUUUAUCGCUAGCUAUUGUAUAACACCUUUUCAUAAUUUGGUAAGACACGAGUUAAGACUUUUACAUAAACAACCACACAUAAGGAAUUCAGUCAUUUGUUCUUUGAUCUUUAUUCUAAAUUUAACCCAAAUCUUUGGCUACCAUCUGAUGUAGACCAUUACAUAUCUGAUGUUUUGAACUAAAGCUAUUUUGCUCAACUCGCAUACAAUUUCAUUGGACCAAACCAAACCUACAAAGACUUUCAAUUGGAUUGUAUUUACCACAAAAGUGUACUAAAAUCAAAGUUUCUAUAGAUCUUGUAAGCAUAAGUUUGUUCCCUCGCAUAAUCAGGUUGUUUUUUUUUUAUCAUUGCCACAUUAUAGCUACAUGUCUAUACUGUUGGUGUACUCAGUAGUUUUUUUUUUUUUUUUUUUUUUUUCAUGGUGUACUUAGUAGUUAGUAUAUAAUAUUCACAAGAUUUGCAUUCAUUUGCUCGUUUCUUAUUGCAUAUGCAAAUUUUAUUUCCUGCAAAUCAGACCAAUAGUUAAGAUUGCGCAUAAAACAAAGGUAAAGAACACUGGAUAUCACCACAGAAAUUUACUGACCAAAUGAUUUUCAUGGACUUCCAAACGAUGGAAAAAUGUUGGUUGAAAAACAAAGGGGAAUGUUUACUACUGUAUUAAUUAUGUGGCAGAUAAAAAUAGAUAUCUGUUAUAAACCAUAUGGAUGGACUCCAUAACCGGUCCAUGGCCCAUUAGGGUUUUAUCUUAUUCUUUGUAUCCUGCUAUUAUCCUUGUAUAUAUAUUCCUUAUACUAUUAAUGAAAGACACAGUUCACAACACGUUAUCAGCACGAUAGUCUUUCACCCUAAAAAUUAAAAAUUCCGAAACCCUAAAUCUCUCUCACAAAAACCAAAACCAAAACUCUAGCCGUCUCUGCAAACAAAAUUCUAAACUCUAUCGAGAUAAGUUUUCUGUUCAUAUUUGUUUCUGCACGGAUUAUCUGUUAUCAAUCCUGUCUGUAUUUCUGCACGAACUUUGCACAGAUGAUCUGUUAUCUAUUCUGUCUGUAGUUUUGCACGAAUUUUGCACGGAUUAUAUGUUAUCAAUUUUGUCUGUAUUUCUGCACGAAUUUUGCACAGAUUAUUUGUUGUCAAUUCUGUCUGCAGAUUUGCACAAAUUUUGCACAGAUUAUUUAUUAUCAAUCCUGUCUAUAUUUUUGUACGAUUUAUGCACGGAUUAUAUGCUAUUGAUUCUGAACUGUUUUAUGCAGUAUAUUACAGAAACCCUAUUUUUUUUCAUUUUACUAAUGUAAUAGCCAUAUUUCCAUGAGCAAAAUUUUGAGUUUCUCAGGAAUCAGGAUUAUAUAUAUUGAGAUUUUGUAGGAAGUCCCAACCAGCUAAGAGACAUAACUGUUUCCAAUCUCCGUAUCAGAUCUCGGGUCUCUGUUAUCUUCUCCAAUUAAGAUAAGUGCUAUUUAUUUAUUAUGCUUUAUAUACAUGAUCCAAUUAAAGUUUGAUAAGAUAAAAUUUGCAUGAAAAUUGGCACAUGUGAUUUGAUUUAUGAUUGGAGAAUUAAUUGAGAAGUUAGUGAAUGGAAAGAUGUUUAAUGCAUGGCAUGAUAGAUUGAAUGUUUUAAUAUAAACUCUAGGUUAAACCGAAAGUAAACCGAAACCCUAAAUCCUAGGUUAAACCGGUUUAAUAAACCCUAAGUCACGGUUUAAGAUCAAGUUUCCCAUAUAAGGAAAGUUUCCAGAAAUAGAAAGUUUUCAUAAAUAUAAAAUCACCAUAAAUAGAAAGUUUCCAUAUAAGGAAAGUUUCCAGAAAUAGAAAGUUUCGUAAAAUAGCAAGUUUCCCAAAAUAAAAGGUUCCCUAAAGUAGCAAGUUUCCCAAAAUGGAAAGUAACCAAAAUAGGAAACCCCUUCAUAAGGAAAUAUUCCAAAACCCUAAAGUACACGUUUGUUUAGGAUUUCUUUCUAGAUGAGAAAUAGAAAGUUUCCAUAAAUGGAAAGUUCCAUAUAAGGAAAGAUUCCAUAAAUAGAAAGUUCCAUACAUAAAACCGAAACCCUAGAAAAAACCCUAGUACUAUAAAUCGCGGAUGCUAAAACCCUAAAACUUAACCGCAAAAUCAUAAUAUCCUAAUCUAGUAUGAUCCGAUUGUUUGGUUAUUUUUUGUUGCAUACUAGAUCAAUCUUCUAGGGUUGAUUUCAUCCAUAUAUAUAUAACAUGAUUGUGUAGAAAACACUUGCUGAAGACAAGCAUGGUUCGGUCUUAAAUACCGCAUGACUUGGUCUAACCGAUUACAUGAGUUCUCAUUUAACUCUAUAUUUUAUAGAUGUCAAAAAUCAACUAUUAUGAAUACACGGCACUCAAUGCCUCUCGUGACAAUUAUUUACAAUGGGCUUUGGACACUGAGAUUAUCCUAAAGGAAAAAGGGGCUUGGUGAAUCUAUUGUGGAAGAAAACAAUGUCACCAAAAGAGAAAGAUAUAAGGCGAUUACUAACAUACGCCAUCACCUCAAUGAGAGUCUCAAAAUCAGUACCUCACUAUUAAGAAUCCUCUGGACCUCAGGACGGUGCUAUUACCCAAAAGCCCGAUUCGAUCGAAAGAAUCUCAGAUUCCAGGAAUUCAAAUCCAUGAAUGAGUAUAACUCAGCACUAUUUAAAAUAGUGUCAAUACUGAGAUUCUGUGAUGAGGAAGUUACUGAGAAUGACUUGCUAGAGAAAGCAUUCUCGACCUUUCACACAAACAAUAUAUUGCCUCAGCAACAAUAUCGUGAAAAAGGUUUUUACCACAUAUGCAAGUCUAAACUCUUGUUUUUGGGGAGGACUCCUCUGUAGAGAGUGCUAAGGAGUGAGGCUUUGGAGAAACCGUGAUGAGAACAUUGAUUCUGAUAUGCUACUUGCUGAGCAAAACAAUGAGUUAUAAAUAGUGAAAUGAGACCUCCUGGUCCUACCCCAUUAUCAGAAGCCCAUUGGGCUGAAGAGCCUAAAGAGCCUAAAGAGACUAAAGAGUCUAACCACGUCCAAAGAGAUAAGUAUCAUGGCCACAGUCAUGGUAAAUGGAAUGAACGUGGUAGAAGUGGAAAAUAUAAUUUAUAUGAUCAAGGAAACCAUUCAUAUGGUUAAGGCCACCGACCCGACUUUGGUCGUAAUCGAGGUAGGCCACGGUAUACCCAAACCACAACACUCAAAUAAACUUGUUUGCUACUGAUGAGUAAUGGGGAAACCAUUGGACUAAGACGUGCAGGAUACCUAAGCAUCUCGUUGAUCUCUAUCAAGAGAGUUUGAAAAGAAUCAAGAAGCUCAUUUAGUUCAUCACGAUGGUGAAGAAGAUUUCGACCAUGAGAUAGAUGAUUAUGAGAAUUCAAUAAACGAAAUAUCUAAAGACAUGGUUCAUUAGCUAAAUUGCGGGUAUAGCUAAAUUUAGUAAAGGCUAAGGGCAGGCCCAUGGCAGGCCCAUAUUCCCAAGGGCACGCAUCCUCAGAUGCUUCAUAUUCACCUAGCUCAAGGGGGCUUGUUGAGUUUCAAAGAAAUGUGUUUGAAUGGUUUUCACAUUGAAACUAAGGGUGAAGGGAACAAAGGAUUCCCAUAUAUUACUAAGAGCACCCAAGACCAUGAGAAGGUCUUAGAGACUAUACUCGCGUCAUAGAUCUUUACUAUGCCAAGGUCAAUAUGAUAAAGGCUAAUAAAGUAAACAAAUAAGGGCUUACUGAGAAAUUCACUAAUGGCAUGACCGGCUUGGCCAGCCCGGUUCGAAUAUGAUGCGUAAAUUAAUUCAAAGUUCUAAAGGGCACACCCUUAAAGAAAACCGAGUUUUCCCUAAGCACCACACGUGCAUAGCCUGUUCACAAGGGAAGCUUAUCACUCGACCUUCACCAGUCAAAGUGUCUAAAGAGACCUUACAUUUUCUAGAACGACUUCAAGGAGACAUAUGUGGUCCGAUCCAUCCACCUUGUGGAACAUUUCGGUACUUCAUGGUUUUAAUCGAUGCAUCAACCCGCUGGUCGCAUGUUUGCCUAUUGUCUUCUAGGAACCAAGCGUUUGUUAGGUUAUUGGCCCAAAUCAUCAGAUUGCGAGCCUAUUUUCCAGAUUUUCCUCUUAAGACCAUACGUUUAGAUAAUGCUGGUGAAUUCACUUCCCAAGCAUUUAAUGACUAUUGUAUGGCCAUGGGGGUAAGUGUGGAACAUCCUGUGGCACAUGUCCAUACACAUAACGGAUUAGCUGAAUCCCUCAUUAAACGAAUUCAACUAAUUUCUCGACUAUUACUCAUGAGGUCGCAGCUUCUGAUCUCAGCUUGGGGACAUGCAGUUUUACACGCUGCUUAACUAAUACGCAUUCGGCCAUCUAGUGAGCAUAGAUAUUCACCAUCCCAACUACUCACAGGUCAGGAGCCAGAUAUGUCCCAUCUAAAGACAUUUGGGUGUGUCACCUAUUUACCCAUAGCACCACCACAGAGAGCAAAUAAUGGGACCUCAAAAGGGGAUGGGAAUAUACGUUAAAAAUGAUUCUCCCACCAUCAUUAAGUAUCUCGAGCCAAAGGCCAGAUACAAGGAUUGUCAUCUCAAUGAAUCGUUUUCCCAAGACUAGGUGGAGAGACUAACAAGCUGGUCAAAGAACUUACAUGGAAUCAAACAUCCUUCACAUGGCAAGAUCCUCGGACUCCAUCAGAGAUCCAAAAGACUAUAUAUCUGCAAAAGCUAGCUAAAACAGUUGCCAAGAUUCCUAUAAUGACCCAAAGAGAGUAACAAAAUCGUACAUACCAGCUUGUAAUGCACCAGUACAUAUUGAUGUUCACAAGGAACAUAAUCAAGUUGCUACAGAGGCUACAACACGUAAGAAACGUGGUAGACCCAAAAGGUUCCAAAGAUAAGAACCCUCGGAAAUCAAAGAAAGGUGCAAGGGAAACCGAGAAGGUUCAAGAAACCAUAGACAUGGCCGGCUAAUAGACAUAACCCUAAGGUACCAAUCAAUGAGGUUUGGGACGCCAAACCUCAAGGUCCUGAAGGUGUAAAGAGAUCUCUAUAAACUAUAUCAUGUCUAGAAUACAAUGGAACAAAAAAAAAUGUCGACAUAAAUGAUAAUAUAUUUGCGCACAAGGUAGCAACUGAAAUGAAUGAGGAUCAGGAGCCCACGUCUAUACUAGAGUGCACUCAAAGACCUGAUUGAUUAAAAUGGUACAAGACCAUAAAACGUGGAGCUAAGAAUCAUUAAGAAGAAGAAUGUGUUUGGUCCAAUACAAAGGACACCAUUCAAUGUAAAGCCAGUGGGACAAAUGAGUCUUUGUGAUAGUGUGAAAUAAACAUAGUGAAAGCGUGAUAUAUCAGACACGGCUUGUCGCACAAGGAUUCACACAAAGACCAGAAAUAGAGGAGAUAUACUCCCCUAAGGUGGAUGCUAAGACAUUUAAAUUUUUGCUAAGUCUGGCUAUAUAAAAGAGAAAGAUUUGCGGCUAAUGGAUGUAAUGCCUGCAUAUUUAUAUAAGUCCACUGGAUAAUAUAUGAGAUUACCAGAGGGUAUUGAGCUCAAAGAUAAGAAAGAUUUUCGAGAACAGCACUGCAUAAGGCUGGACAAAUCCUUAUAUGGACUGAAACAAAGCGGACGUAUGUGGUAUAACCGGUUAAGCGAAUAUCUCAUCAGAGAAGGCUAUAAAAACGAUCCGAUCAGUCCAUGUAUUUUUAUCAAGAAGUUUGCAAACAAAGGAUUUGUAAUCAUAGCAGUGUAUAUGAAUGAUUUAAACCUCUGGAUAAUCGCCCAAACAGUUGAGUAUAUCUAAAGAAAGAAUCUCAAAUGAAAGACCUAGGCAAUAAUUAAGUUCUGUUUGGGAUUACAACCUGAGUACGUGAAUAAUGGAAUCCUUGUGCAUCAAAUGGCAUACACUGAAAGAGUAUUCAAGGAAAUUUAAUAAGGACCAGGCCCGCCCAUUGACCAGGCCCAAUGGUGGUGAGAAGCCUCAAAUUGGAUAGUGAUCCAUUCAGUCCGGAAAUGCCAUACCUCAGUGCCAUAGGAGUUCUAAUGAAUUUGGCUAGACACACUAGACCAAACAUUUGUUUUGCCGUGAGUCUCCUGUCUAAAUUUAGUUCAUGAUCAACCCAAAGGCACUGGAAAGGUUUAAAGGAAGGUUUGAUUAAGUUUUAAAGUCUAUUCUUCCUGCGUUAUUUACUUGGGUUUAUUCUAUACUGAUCUAACCAAAGAAGGUCCAGUUUGCUUUGGUUUAGUUUGAUUUACUAAUGCAGGAUAUUCAUAAGAUCAGAUUAUGGUAUGAUCAAUGAAUAGGAACUAUGUGUGGCUUGAUCCUUUCCAAGGGUACGUAGGCAGCCUUCCUUAAGGCGCAUCUACUACUACAUCAAAGACCAUCAUAUUUGAAGACAACGCAUCUUGUAUUGCUCAACUCAAGGAUGGCUACACUAAGAGGGAUCGAACGAAGCAUAUUCUGCCCAAGUUCUUCUUCACUCAUGAAUUACAGAAGGACGGUCAGGUCAAAGUUCAACAGAUCCAGUCAAGUGAGAAUUCAGCCGACUUAUUCACCAAAUCAUUGCCGACUUCAACGUUCCGGAAGCUCAUUCAUCAGAUCGGGAUGCGCGGACUUAAGGAUCUACAGUGAUACUCAAAUCAGGGGGAGUAAUGCGUGUUGUACUCUUUUUCCUUCACCAUGGUUUUGUCCCACUGAGUUUUCCUGGUAAGGUUUUAAUGAGACAAUAUUCCCCAGCGCAUUAUAGAGAUCCCGGUUUAGUAUCGGGCACGGUUAUGUCUUCCAAGGGGGAGUGUUAUAAACCAUAUGGAUGGACUCCAUAACCGGCCAAUAGCCCAUUAGGGUUUUACCUUAUUCUCUGUAUCCUGCUAUUAUCCUUAUAUAUAUAUUCCUUAUACUAUUAAUGAAAGACACAGUUCACAACAAUAUCGUAUUUUUAAUAAAAACUUAAUACGAAAAGUACUUCUUCGAAUCGAUGGGUGAAUGGGCAUAUGAUUUAUAUCCAAUCAUCCCAUUACCUCCUUUCCCUAUUCUGGAUAUGUCAAGCCCAUUAUCUUUUCUUCAAAGCAAAAAAAAAAAAAAAAAAAAAUCUCUUUUUCAAGGCAUCUCCAUGUUUUGGAGUUUUAAUUUAUAUAUCAAUGUUUAAUUCUAAUAUUAUAGUUUCAAGUUUUCAACUUUCAAUCUUCGAAAACGACAAAGAUAUAUUCCCAUACAAUUAGAUUGAAUUUACGGUUUUGCAACUCGAAUAAUACGGAUUUUGCCAUUUCCACUUCUCUUUAAACAACUGGUCAAUUAAAGUGGAGGAAAUAUAUUCCCCAUAGUAAAACAACAACAUGCAGUCGUUAAAAUUCAUUACCAUUUAUUUACUGCUUCUGUCUGUAGCAGUAAAAAUACUAGUCCAUAAUCAUUCGUUACUCUAUAGUAUUAGACUCUUUUUUAUUUCUUGAUUUGCUUCGAUGAUGACAUUAAACACGUUCUCGGUAUACAUUUCACCUUCACGAUCGAUCUUUCUUCUUCCUUCUUGAUCGUCUCCUUAGCCAUCUCCAUAAUCUUUGAUCUGUCCAAAUAUUUAGUCAGAUCACAAUUUUUGUAAUUUGAGUUGACUCUGUGUGUACUACUAACCGUUCCUCGUUGAACGAGUUGGAUCGUCUCAACGAUGGUUCAGCCGUGACUCGUUCUUGACUCACCGACUCGACGAUGCUUCCGCUGAAAUACUCUUUCUCCUCCGCCUGAGGAUUCCCGAACCUUGGAUUCUCCGACAUGAACCUUAUCAUCUCACGUUCGUCAUCGACGACAGUCUUCUUCACAAUGUUCUUGCAUAAAACUCCUUUUCGAAGAUUCUCUUCUUUUUGUCUCGGAUUCAUCACGCUCGGUGCGCAGUACUUGGUGGCGGCGAUGUGCCCGCACGAUAUCAUCUGGAGCCACAUCGACCCACGACCCGAUCCGGGUUCCACCGGAUCUCCGUCCUCGACCCGCGUCGAAACGUCGAGUCGACAAGGCUUCACCACCGGGUUGGAACGAGUCAACUCGGACAAGUGAGAACGUACUUGCAAAUCUUGUUCUUUCUUGACCAAGAUCGGUUUUUGUUCGGUGGAUUCGAUUGUCUCCGUCGAUAAGCCUCGAGAACAGCGAGAUUUCGGCGUCGUGGAAGAUGUAUAACUCGUUUUCUCUUCGUAAAGUUCGUACUCUCCGUCUUCUUCGACGUAGAGCUCUGAGUCAUCAAACGACGUCGUUCUGUUUUGAGGUUUGAGUUUUGACCUGAGAAGUCGACUUUUUGGAGUUUCUUCAAUAGAACCAGACAAUGGUCGGUUCACAUGUACUUCUUGAAAUUUGUCUGAAAAAAAAUUUAGAAACAAGAAGAUAAAAAAAAACUCCCUUGCAAAACCACAAAUUUCAAAUUUGUAUGAUUUUCGAUUAUCUUAACAACUUUACCGGUGAUUUCAGAUCCUUUCAAGACAUACUCAGCACAGUCCGAAGGGUAAAUCACAUCGUUCUCUGCUAAGUCAUUCCAAACGAAUCCAUUUCUAUAGCUCCUGAUGAAUAUAUAUCGAUAUAAAAUGCAUAAGUUUAGCCCGCGCCCUAAGAUUACAGAUUUUGCCUCAGUUUAAAAGCGUUGUUACGCAUAUUGUGAUGGCAUGCACUUCCCUCUCAGGACCGUAAGCCGGUUCAUCACAUCUUCAUGAUUGAAAUAAACAGUUUCCCAAGGAUACCGAUGCUUCGUAUUCUUUGCAAGAUCCAUCCGAGGCAAGUCUAAAUAUAUAAUGAUUAAUUAAUAGUAUAUAUGUGUAACAAUAUACUAAUAUACCUAUCCAUGUAUUAAGCUGUUAAUGGUUUCUACUCGAGCUAACUUCAAUCUCCUAAAUACGAAAUGAACAGGUGAUGGAUUUCUUGCGAAGAUUGGUGGAAUGGAAACAAAUGCAGCCAAGAAUGUGAAAGGAUAAUAUAAUAAACGAAUGACAAUGUUCGAAAUGCCAGUGGACAUAUUGGUGAAUGUAUAAUGAAUAUGUACAUGCCUAAUUAAUUUAUCUUGGAACGUUGUAAUUGGUAAAGGAUAGGGCAAUGUCUUAAUAUGCCCCCUUAGGUUAAUCUUAUUUUGUUUUCGUAAGAAAAAAAAAAGAUGAACAAGAAAAGAGGUGACAAAUUUGUUUCCAGCAGUCUAGUAAGUUGUAACUAUCUUUGUAAAAGCAAAUAUGUUAAUUAAGAAAGAAGUUUUAUUUAACGUUGUCUCUGCGUUUUAAUAUAAUAACGGGUUUUCGGUAUCUACGUACUGACGUACAUUCCGUCUUGUUUGAGAAUUAUAUUAAAAUAUCGAUCUAACAAUAAAGAGAUUUGUUCGUAUGAAAAUCUUUGUGAAAGUAUAUGUUAUGCCAAUGUUUGGUAGUUACUGAAAUAGCUAUAGUUUCUAGCUCCUUCUCUUUUAUUUCCCAUGUUCUUCAAUCUAUAUAUGUAUAUAAUAUUUAUAAUUUAAAAGUUUACAUUACAUUUGGAGACGGUGCAUGACAGAGUAAAAACUAUAUUUAACUAUUAUUUGUAAAUUGUAUGUGACACAUAUUUAGUAAAAUAGUUAAAUAUGUGGAUAUAAUGCGACGAAUUUGAAAGUGUUUGAUACUUUGAUGUAUCUAGAUUUGUCUCACUUUGUGUACUUGUCUACUGACACUUUGACACAUAGCCUCAUGGGGUCCAAGUGAAACUAAAUUAUCAAUUCAAAUCUGUCUGGGACGUACUUUUCACCAGUAUAUAUAGACGAAUCAACCUAACCAAGUUAAACCGCUUCAAAACCACGAAUUUAUUACUUUUAUUCUUGCUCGUAGUGGCAAAGGCAAACUCUGGAAAGUUGGACGUCUUAUUUUGUUUUAUUGUUAUUUUGGGUCAAGUCGUGUUCCUCUUCGUGCAUGUCCUUUGGCCCUGAUUACGAACGCUCUGUAUAUUUAUUUGCUGGUACGAGACAAAUUUGUUAUAUCGUUUGUAGCAGCAGAUUUUGUAGUUGUGUUUCCAAUCCAUGAUAAUUAAUGCGAUAACGCUUCUUUUUUUUUUUUUUUUUAAAUGAUUUUGUGCAUUUCUAAUGGAUGAUAUUUUUUCUCUACAAACGUAAAUAUAUCCAUUUGUAUAUUUGGACUUUAUAUCUUUUAGGUCAGGGACGAUAAUUUUUUUUUUUUUUGGACAAAUGAGUCUCAUCCACGAACGCAUUGUCGACUUGAACUCUAAUCUGACAAUAUUUAGUUAGUCCCGUUCCAACUUCCAAUAACCCGGUUGAAGUAAUCAAAUAAACUAAUUUCGAUGUAUUGCAGAUGAUCCAUUUAUGUAACAAUAGAACAACUAGAUGUGAAACUUGAAACUGAAACCCUCAUACUUCUCAAUUUAUAUCUAGUUGUGUUACAGAAUAUGACCAAGUGGUGUUUGGUCUACUAGCAUACACAUGGUCUCUUCAAAUAAGUGAGAAAUCGUGCUCUCUUGGUUCAAGUGUCACUUAAGAGAAGUUUUGGUUCCGAUGGAAAGACAUAUGGGUCAAAGUCGAUAAUUUCUCAAUUAACCAUUAAAAUAAUCACGAUAUUGUAUUUUUUUUUACAAUAAUAAUGCUUGAAAUAUUUGGAGUAUGUACAUAAACUUUAAUGAUAUUUACUUAUACAAUUGCCUAUGCAUUACAGUACUAUUGUCCGCAAACUAUUUAGCCGUAGAAUUAUAAACGACUUAGACAAAUUACAGCACACAAGUAGAUAAAUUGUACAUGUCAAGCCAAAUAAUCUCUGACUUUCCUACGUUACUGUUUCCUAUUCUUACUCGAAUUGGUGCUUACGUCUUUUGGAAAUCUGACAGUAUAGAUGGUAUAUACAGAGACAUAAUUGAAUACAUACAUAUGUACAUGUUACAUAGAUGGACAUAUAUAAGAGUGGCUAGAACAUCAUCCGAUGCAUGCACGUAGUCUCUGUGAAAGCUGAGAUAUGUGUACAAAAGAAAAGUAAUAACUAUACGUAUAGUGUCAUAGCAAAUCAAUAAUAGUGGAUGGUCAUUAUUGUCAAAGCUUUUUGUCCAUAGCUUUUGGGUGUAUAAUGCGACUAACUAUCACAAUAAAGCUGCAUGUGUUUUCAAUCCCUUUCGAUGUAGACAUAUCACCAAUACUCAGUUUUACUAAUAUAUAUAUAUAUGUAUUCUCAUUGUCCAUGACCUAGAUUAAAUAAUAACGAAAUUACACUAGAAACCCAUAAGUUUCCGUAUUGAAUUUGUGAACGUAGCUAUGUAGGAUAUGAUAUGUGUAAGGACUAAGAAGUAAGAAUCAUUGCACCAAAGAUGUGGUGGCCUAGUUGUGAAAAAGGGUUUGUUCCCUUGUACUCAAGUUCAAAUUCUUUUUUAGUACGGUAGAGUAUUUUUUUAAAUCGGUAGAGUACUCAAGUUGAAAAUCUACUUGUAUACUCUAGUUACAUCUAUCUACCUAUACAAGACAAUAAAAUUGUUUUAAGAUCUUGUAUUAAUAAAGUAACUAAAAUCUAAAAUAAUGGAAAAUCUAUAUAUACAUUUUUGGAGAUAUUUAUUAAAUAAAUUCUGAAGUUCCAACUUAUUUACGAUCAAAUGCCAUCGACAUUAAUUAUUUAGAUUUUUAAAAUUAAAUCAAAUAUAUUAACAUAAAAAAUCAUUUCCAAAAAUCUUAACCUAAUAUAUUAAGCAUAACUAAUCCUUGACACAAUUACAUCCAUAUUCAAUUCGAUUUCCUAAAAGAUCUCAACAAUCCCUACAUUUAAUCGUAGCCAUUCAAAUCUUAAUCUGGUUUUUAAUCUUCAAUUUUGGUCGUCGGUCAUUCGCAAUUAAUUCAGAAAUCCUUAUAUAGAAUUGAUUAUUAUUAACUAAUAUUUAAAUAUAUAUAUAUAUAUAUAUAUAUAUAAAAUCAAACUUUUAAAUUGAUUCAAAUUAUAUGUCUAUAAAAUAAAAUAUUAUUAAAAAUAACAAAAUAAUGUUUAAUUUCACGGGACGAGGUUAUAUAGUGGGACGGAUUUGGAUCGAUAUUAAUACGGGACGAUAUUAAUAUCACGGAUGAAAUCUUAAAAUUAACAAUCAAAAUACAAUUAUACAAUCUUAAACACUUAAUAAAAUAAAUAAUAUUAAAAAAUUAAUUUAAAAUUUAAUUUUUUAGUUAAAAAAUCGACUUACCGCAGGGUAAAAUCUAGUCUAUAUAUACAUUUUUGGAGACAUUUAUAAAAUAAAUCAUGGAAUGCUAAUUUAUUUACGAUCAAAUGCCAUUGACAUUAAUUAUUUAGAUUUUUAAAAUUAAAUCAAAGAUAUUAACAUAAAAAAUCAUUUUCAAAAAUCUUAACCUAAUAUAUUAAGCAAAACUAAUCCUUGCCACAAUUACAUCCAUAUUCAAUUCAAUUUCUUUAAAAGAUCUUAACAAUCCCUACAUUUAAUCAUGGCCAUUCAAAUCUUAAUCCGGGUUUUAAUCUUCAAUCUUGACCGUCGAUCAUACGCAAUUAAUUCAGAAAUUAUUAUAUAGAAUUAAAUAUUAUUAACUAAAAUUUAAAAAUAUAUAUAUAAAAUCAAAAUUUUAAAUUGACUUAAAUUAUAUGUCUAUUAAAUAAAAUAUUAUUAAAAAUAAAAAAAUGAUAUCUAAUUUCACGGGACGGGGUUAUAUAAUGGGACGGGUUUGAUCGAUAUUAAUACGGGACAGUAUUAAUAUUACAUAUGAAAUCCUAAAAUUAACAAUAAAAAAACAGUUAUACAAUCUUAAACACUUAACAAAAUAAAAAAUAUUAAAAAAUAUAAUAUAAAAUUUAAUUUUUUAGUUAAAAAAUGGACAUGCGGUGUACAGCGGGGUAAAAUCUAGUAUGUAUACAUUUUCAGAGGCAUUUUUAAUUUGAAAUAAAUUCUGGAGUUUACAGUUAUUUACAAUGUAAUGCCACUGAUAUUAAUUCUUAAGAUUUAUUUUUUAAUUAAAUAUAUGUAAAUUUAAUUUGUUUGACAAAUAUCUAGAGAGAAUCUUUUUUAAUAUCUUGACAAUGAUCAUUUAUACUCUUAAUUAUAGGCUGCAUCUAAUUAUGAUUCUAAGAGCAUGAUUAAAGGCAAGCUCUUAUAGAAAUCUUAAGCUUUUCUUAACAUUUAAAGCAAUAUAAUUUAAUCAACUUUGUGCUUUAACUUUAAGAAACGUUCCUUGGCUAAGGAACAUUUCUUAGCUAAGAGCAUAUAUGGACAAAAUAUUCCAGAAAUUAAGUUUAAAAUAUUUAUGCUUUCUGUUAUUUAUGUUAUACAUUGUAUCUCAUGUAUGUUUUAAUUUUUUUAAUUUGCAACCAUUAUUAAAUUUUCUAUAAUUAUAAACUUUAUUCUAUGUUAAUUUUUUUUUCUAAGAACCACAUUUUAAGAACCUACCAUUAAUAAUACAAAAAUCUUAACUCAAAAAUACUAUCUCUUAACAAUCACUUUUAUACAUAUAUUACUUAAAUAUUGCUAAAAUGUAUUUCUAAGAUACUACUAAUAAUCAUGCUCUAAUAAACAACAGAACAUACUACAAAUUCCUUUUUCUCGUCGUGAACAUGAGAAAUAUUUUUGAAGGUUGCAAAUACUUUGAGGAUGAGAGAGUUUUAGCCUCUGUUUGAGUAAUUUUGUAAUUUUUGUUAUUGUCCCUGUUUGGAUCUUUUGUGGUGUAUCCAUUCUUUUGUAUAGGCUAUUUGAUUUGUUCAAAGGAGUUAGAGUUAGUUGCAGUUUGUGUGAGGUUCUGUCUCGUUUGCAGGUGUAGGUGUGGUUCGAAUUUUGUAACUUGUUUCACACUUAUGCAUUCUAAUAUAACAACAGAUGACCAAAAAAAAGGUUGCAAAUACUUUAUUUUAUAUAGUUUCGUAGAUAUGUCUAAAUAGUCUCACCAUUUCUAGAGACUCAACAACAUAAUAAAAAAGAAAAUAAAUAAAAACUCUAAAUCAACUUUUAUGUUCUGUUUCACCAAGAACAUAAGAUGAGUAAGGAUAUGACUCAAAUAGCCCGGACAUCGCCGUCGGCGAGGUAGCGUUUGCGGAGAGCGGCACAGCCACGGAGCGGUUCGUCCCUGAAGAAACCCAUGGCGUUGGCAAAGUGGCGAGUAGAGGCGGCUCCGUUGGAGCGCGUGAGGAUCACGGUGGCGGUGCUUCUGCCAGGAUCAGCCUCUUGGCAGCGGGACAGAGGACUGUGAACAAGCUCCGCCAGACAUUGCUGGUCCUGUCGGUCUCCUCUGACGGCGACUUUGUAUUUCCCAUUGGGUCCCGUCACCGCCACCCCAACCAACUCCGAUUUCAGUGUCACUCUGUCUUUGCAUACUAUUCUCACUCUUGCCCCUGUUUUUCAUAUAACCCUUAAAAUAUUUUUAAGUGUUUCAAAUAAAACAAUUGCUGCUUUUGUUUUUACUUGCGAUUUCAUUUCUAUAUAUAGAAUUUUGGAUUUUUAUACUUAUCAAGAUAAUCUGUAAAAUGCAAUUAACAAAUUAUUUAAACGUAAACAAAAAAUUGAAGUUUUAGACUUUAAGUUGAUUUAAUUGAAAAUUUACCGAAUGGAUGGUUUUCUAUUUACAUGUAUACAAUGGGAAAUAUAUAUAUAUAUAUAUAUAUAUAUAUAUAUAUAUAUAUAUAUAUGAGGAUAAUAAGUACGUAAGUAUAAAUACGGACCGUGGAUAUAUUUGGUGGCAAUUGUCUCGAAUCCAAAACGGCAAGUGUCGCAGUAAACACAUCCUUCAAUGUGGAAUGGUGUUCCAACCGCCAUGGCCGCAAGUGGGAGCAACGAAACGAAUAACACAACGAUCACAGGUACCAAUGAUUUAGCCAUCUCCAUAAACUGAAAGAACGAUAUUGUAGAUUUUGGAGAUUGUUAUUAGUGAAGGGGUUUUCUGUUUUAUGUGAAAACUAUGUAUUAUAUAAGAAGGGAAAUGAAGUGCACAUGUAGUAAAGAAGGUGUAAGUGUAUCGCAUCUUGUGCAAAUUAAAAGCUUCCUUAGUGUCGGCUGGAUCCACUUGCGGCUGCUCCUCCGCCGUACACGGCGAGAGAGUUUGUGUUGCCUUCUACACAAGUCAACUCUUAUGGUUCUUGUUAAUUCUAGUCUACGUCUCGAUCGGACUUUACAUUUUUAUUUCGACUAAUUUAUUCGGCAUUUGACUUUAUGUAUAUAAUUCUACUACUAUUUUUAACAAAGUUUUCUAAACUGGAUUUAUCCCAUCCAAGAUAUUUUUGAAAGUAGAUUCUUUGGAAAAUAGGAAAUCUAGUUUUUGGAGUUUCCCACCAAUUUUCAGUAAGAAUCUAAUAUCCAAUCUACUUGGGGUUUUCACUUACAAUUUGUAUUUUCUGUUUUUUUUUUUUUGUAACAAAAUCCAAAACGUAAAAGUCAAAAUUUAAAAUCAAAAAAACUAAAAACUAUAAUCUAAAAAUCUUUUAAAAAUCCUCAAACAUGCUAAGUCGUAUAAGAUGGAGCAUUAUGUUACAAAUAGUUCACUUUAGGUUAUAAAAUAAUGAAAAUUUUGAAAUAUUGGAACAAUAAUCUUUAUCGGAAAAAAAAUGGAACAAAAAGAAAAGUUUGUUAAAUUGAGAGAGUGAUGAAACUGCUGGUUAGCUUCGGUCUGACCAGAACGUGCUUUUGUUUCGUCUUAACGUAAGAGUGCAUUUGAACACUAACGAUUCUCUAGAUAUUAUCUUGUAGGCUGGUUGUACAUAACUACAUAUAGAUUAUAUUUAGUAAAAAUCAGAUUCGUUAAAGAUGAGUAAUGUUCACUUUGACUUAUGCUUCCAUGUUUUUGUUUUUUUUUGCCAUAGGACCAUUUUCAUAGAUUUUAAAUCUUUGAUUGUAAUCCUAAAUUGUUUUCAUUUUCAUUGAAAUAUUUAUAUUCUUGCAAAAAAGAAAAUAAAAAAAGAUGAUUAAUGUUCACAGUGACGUCUGUGUUCCAAAGAAAAUACAGUUCUGAAAGAAAUAUACUAUAUCUAUAUGUGAAUUAUAUGUAUAAUAUUUACUGUAAUGUCUAAAUACAUAUUUCUUAUCAUUUAAUUUUAUAAAUGUGGAUUAAGGGAUUUCUUCGUGGAUGACGGAAGUGAUGCUGGUCCGAAGAAAAUAUGGAAGAGGUCGGUCACGUAAACAACAAUGAAUCUUAAUAACUAAGCCUAUAUAUUGGGCCGAAGGUGACCGACAUGGGCCCAAUAAACCCAUUCCAACCAUUCGCGUUUAUUAAUUACGACGAGAAAAAAAACGCACUGAGAGAGCGCCACGUUUUCUUUGCAAAAUAGGCCGUAGGCUUCUUCACAGUGAAGCAAACACAAGUUUUAGAGAGAAGAGAAGAACACAUACACGCAAGAUCUCGAUGCAAUUCUCUCACGAAUAAGGUACAAAGUUUCAUCAACCUUUUUGUCUUUAAACAGAUAAUAUUGACUUAAAUCUAGUCUACUUAUGUAUCACACACAAAGUCUCUUGGCCAAAGAGAGAGUAUUAAGAUAUACAAACGCUCGCCCUUAUCAGCGGAAUAAUUACAUAUCUUUUUUUUUCACAAUCAUAUAAUAUGUUUUGGAUUUUGAUUUCAACCGCCGAUUAAAUGUGGCUAAUUAAGCAGCGGGAGAGUCACCGGAAGAUUGUCGGAGAUUUGUCCUGCAGGUGAAAUCUCCAUCUCAGCUUCUGCUCCCACAUGAUGAUUCUUCUCCAUCUGUACGAUAAUCAUAGGUCAAAAUCACUAUUCACUUUCUUCUUUUUGUCUUCUAUCCAAGGAAUAUCUUUUUCAUACCAUCAAUUAAGACCCUUGUUUUAAAAAUCGCUAGGCGCUAGUCGGGCGCUCGGCAUGGGCCUAGCGAUUAAUCGGAAAAUCGGAUUAAAAUCGGGGAUUAAUCGGGGAUUAGUUUUAGGGUUAUUUUAAUAUUUUUAAAAUAUAUUAAUCCAAUAUUGUAAAAAUUUAUGAUUUUUAUUACAAAUUUAUGAUUUUUAUUAAAAUUUGAACACAAGUUAUUGUAAAACAUCACAAACUCUCCAUUCAAAUGAUUGAAUAACAAAAAUAAAAAGUUUUUUUAUACUUGCAAUCUAAAAAAUAAUCGGGGUAUAUAAGAUUAGGCGGAAAGUAAUCGGAUUAGGCGGAGAAUAAUCGGGUUACUGAUUUUUUAGGGGAUUAGUCAUUAAUCGAGGCGGAUAGGGUGGGCCUAGCGAUUAAGCGGGGAGUAAUCGGGGCUAGGCGGGGAUUUUUAGAACAGGGAUUAAGACUAACAACAAUAAAAGCACAUAAAGUAGCACUACUACUAGACACUUGGAGUUGGAACUGAGCCAAUCGGUUCCAAACCUAAACCAUAACAAAAAAGAAACUAAUCGGUUCAUCAACUCUUUUUUGGUUAAGGGGUGAUUAAUAAUUAUUAAUAUAUAAAAUAAAGACAACGUUUACACAACCUUCAAGGUAACCAAUAUUAAACCAAACUAGACCAUAACCUGAAAGAGAAUCAAGAAAUCUUAAUGAAACUCUACCAAAUUGACUUAACCAGACUAUAAUAGGUUCAUAAAUCUCAAAAUCAAAAUGAACCAAAACCUAAAUAAACGUCCCCUUAACAAAAAAAAAAAAAAAAAAAAAAAAACAAGAAGAACCAAAACCUAGUUAAUAUCCCAACAAUUUUAUUUAGUAAAAUGAUAUAGCAAUAAUGUAAUUUCUACUCAUCAUAAACAUAAAUAUAUAUAAUUUACUUUAAUUUUUUAGUGUAAUUAUUAAUAUAAACUUCAUGAACUUUUGUUGUUGUUAUAAUCCCGACUUCAUCUGAUAUAAAUAUAUAAAUAGUUUUAAAAAUAAACUUAUUAUUUUAAAACUAGGGAAAUUGUUAAAAAUGCCCCUUUUGGUGUGUCCCUUUUCAAAAAUGCCCCCUUUAGAUGUCCAUUUUCAAAAAUGUCCCUUUUUAAAUCUGAAAUUUUUAUAAAGUUUUAUUAGGUUUAUAAGGUACUUAUGGAUUAUAACUACUACUUGAAGACUCGAUCCAAGUAUUUAUAAGGUUUUAUAAGGUGUUUUAAAAGGUUUUACAAGUUAUUUUAAAGAAUUUUUAAGGUUUUUCAAAGGUUUUACAAGAUAUUUUAAAGGUUUUUAAAGGUAUUUAAAAUGCAUUUAUAAGAUAUUUAUAAAGUAUUUAUAAGAUUUUAGAUACAUAGAAAUGUAGUUUGUGUAUGUUUUAAUAAUGUUACAUACAUAUUUGGGUAAAUCUUAUAUUUUUAAGAGCAUUUUUUAUAAAAUUUUAAAAAAUGAGCAUUUUUGAAAAGUGGCAUUGGGCAUUUUUGCAAAAGCCCCAAAAAACUAUUCACCUUUUUUUUUUUUUUUUUUUUUUUGAGCACCAAACUAUUCACCUUUGUUUCCGAAUUAAAACGGAAAAGAUUUCCCCUAACUCAAACCAGCCCGAAUCAAAUUUCUGUUAUAAUUCAGUAGUAAUCUCACAAACCCUAAUCAAAUAUACAAACAACCAAAAUACCCUAAUCUUGAGAAGAAUUUUCUAGAAUACAAGGCAGAAAAUGCAAACUACUGGCUGCCAUAAGAAAAAGAAAGUGCUAACUAGUGAAUGCUUAAAAGUGCUCUGUCGAUAUAUCUGCAAGCAUAAGAGUGUGUAUCUGUGUCCAUGUAAAGAGCUUACUAGUUAUGCAUAUUUAUAGGAAAUGUAGCUUUCGUUACCUGGCUAGCCAAAACCUGGUUCUCUUCUUUCAGCAAUUUCUCCUGUUUUAAAGAUCAACACGUUCAGCAACUACCGAUCAAGUUUCUAAACCUAACAACUUUAGAUUUUGGAUUUCAAAACAUAUGCAUUGGGAAGAAGUUGCAAAGAUGUGUGCAAGCUCGUUAAGCAGACUUAGAGAAACAGUGACAACGAACGAUAAUAUAUAUGAUGUACUAUAACUUUGGAAGCAAAUAUCUGACCUUUUCUUUAAGGUUCUCCACAAGCUUCAACAUUAGUUCUGUCUGCAACAAAUAAAAGCAGCACAGUUGUUAUCGGCAAACAAAAUUCAGAAAAGAGUAGACAUUACGAAAUCAACUUACCUUCUUGGCUCUGGUUACGGAGAGGGCAGUCUCAAGGUGUUCCUCUAGUUGAAGAAGAGUUUCGGCACUCACAUUAUUGACAUUUGAUCCCACAAGCUUGCUGCAUAUAUUCAUAGUUUGACAAAAAAAAAACCUAAUUCCUUUGUAAUCAAAGGAGGAGAGCAAAUAUAGUCUUAGUUAGUACUAACCUUUCCACAAGUUCAAGUAGCUCAUGGUGUGAACCAUAGUUCAGAGCUUUUGACUGAAUAUCCUGCCCAUGAAAAAGGGACAGAAGAAGCGGUAAAAGACAAGGGCUACGAGAAUUUUGAUAUGCAUCUGGAGCCACCACCUCAUUUUAUAUUUAGGAUCACUCGGUAAACUAAUAAUAGUAAAUUUACUCCUUAUAAAACUCCAUCUGGGAAAAGAUUCAAAAUGUUUGUAUUACCAAGGCUUUAAGAUCAUCAGCAUGUUGUUUUCCAUAUCGAUCAAGGAUCUUGACCAGGCUGGAGAGAUGACAAAUAAAUAAAAAUAUGUGAGGAUCAAAACUACUAUAUCUAACCCUUGAAAAGACGACUGGAAACUAUGAAACAUUUAUAUGGCAUCAGAAGAGACAUUUGGAGACAACACCUUAAUUUUUACACAUGUAUAUUAUAUAUAACACCACUAUUAUAUUCUUAACAUUUCAGAAAAAAACAAUAAUCUUAGUAUUCAUGCUUAAGCAGUGUUUCUAUAUAAUUAUUGAUACAAUAUAAACAUGUAAACGCAGCCUCAAUCUUAAAUGGAAACAAGCAGUUGAGGCUUAAGAGAGUGUGUACACACACAUCUAUUUUUUGUUUGUUACAGAAAUCAUAUACUUAUGAAAUUAUAUACAUAUACACCUGAUGAGCCACAAAGUGAUGACAUUGAAGUAAGCUGACGUCCACUACGUAUGAGGAAGCCAAAUUCCAAGUAAAUGCAUGGACUGAGUCUUACGGAAUCAUAUUUCUAUAUAAUUUCCUGUAAAUAAUUGAAAGACACUUCCCUAAAAAUAGAAAACAGUGGAAGACUGCUUGCAAUUCAUUUGCAACUUGUAUUAUUCUAAUUGCAACCUCUAUCAGAGCUUCCAUUUUGGUUUUGAUCCAUACUACAACUUUUAGCAUCAAAACAACACAUAUCUUCUUUACAAAUCGUGGUAUCAAUAGCAUUAUAAAUCAACCUAUUUACCCUCUAUAUUCUAUCAUAUCCAUUUCCUUAUGAAAUUUGAUCGGGACUACGAAACAAUGGUUUAGAAAAGAAUUUAAAAAAGCCUCUUCAUGAGUUCAUUAGUAAGCUCGUGUCAAAACGGUGACAUCAGCUAUUUGUUUCAAAGUAAUACCAUAUCAACAUAUACGAGAAAACUUUUCGAAUUUUUCAAUGAACCUUGAGGACAAGGUUCUUUCUAGCGAUAUCGCUAGUAUUGAUGAGCCAUAACAUGAUCAUGAUGAUGUGGCGGUAAGCAGAUGACCAUAAGUAUAUAUGAGGAAUCCAAACUCCAAAUACAUGGACCGAGUCUUAAACAAACUCAUAUUUCUAUUUUAUGUUUUUUGCAAAUAAUCAAAAGACUCUCCUAAGAAUAUAUAGGAAGCCGGUCUUCGUAUUUGUAUUUUCACUUUCAAUUUAUUCCUCGUUUGUAGAAACGGUGAGGUUCCAAUUUCCUAUAUUUAAACCCCAAAUUCAAGCAAUAAAAGUAAAGAGUUUUCUGCCAUUGAAGUUACACUAACUUAUAUUACUAGGAAACCUAUCAUACCUAUAUAUAAAUAUAUCUUCUAUAGAAGGAAGCGACUAAGACAGAUAAAACUAAACUACAUAAUGACCUUAUACAAGACCCAACAAAUUUGACAACACUUCCACUAAUUCAUUUUUUUUUUUUUUGUUAAUAGGUAUCAGUUCCAUUGUGAAGUCAAAACUAAGUAUGCAAAAAUGAGUUACUGAGUAACUAUUUCCACGUUCUAAAAGGCUCCUUCUUUAUCAAAUCAUAACUAAGACCAGGAGUUCUAGUCAGGUGUCUCGACUAUUCCAAGGCUGGACCAAACUUUCAGUAUAUAAGGGGUGAACAAAUCCUAAGUAUGCAUCAAGUGAGAAUCGGCCAGCGAUCUUGACCAACAUGGCCAAACGACUACAACCACUUGGUUAAUAUAUUGGAGGGUUGUAGUAAUUAAACACUACACCAGCAAUUUUGACAACUUAUAGGAUUAUAAUGAUUCAUUAUAGAUACGUUCCAAAGAGGUUCUUAUUUCUUAUAUGAAGACAAGUUUUGAGGGAUUUCCAAUUUCCUAGAGGCACCAAAGAAACAAGGCUGUGUUAUUGACAAUUUCUAUGACAAAAGACACAAGAUACAAAGGUUGUGUGAUUGUCGAUUUUCACAACAAAAGUUACAAGGUAGUGGAUUCAGAUAAUCACCAAGUAAUAGGUCCACGACAAAGAUAGGAAUUCAUAGAAGAUCAACAAAUAGUCUUAUAUAGUCAAUAGCUGCAGAAUGUGGUAUAUACAUUAUUCAGCAUUAACCCCAUAUCAAUCCUAUAGAUCUCCCGUAGGUGCAUUGCAUUGCAUACAAAUCCGAGAGAUCCAAUGAAUUUUAAUCACUCUGAAAAGAGAGACAUUAAUCAUUAGUCAGCUCUUCAAAAACUUAAGGAAUCUAUAAAGCAAAGUAACAAUCACAGAUGGCUUGAAACUUCACUAAACAACAUCGAGCACGCAUCAGAUCGUAUCAAACAAAUCGUGAAGGACAUGCAAAUUAUUUCCAAAGAAAAUAAUAAAAUCCAUGCAGAAAUUUUUUUAUAAGAAAUAUAGAGAGAGAAAUGAACAAAAGUUAGAAGCUUUAUCUUCAUCACGACAUUGUUCUUCCUUAAAUUAGGUUAUCUCAUGUAUCUCUCAUGGUCAUAGAAAAAGACACUAACAAACACAGAACCAAGAAACAACAAGAGAUUCGCCGGAAAUAAAUCGAAAUCCAGAUAAGGAAGAGGCGUACUUAUCGCCGGAAGAGAAGCUGUAGAGCUUGCCGGAAGCAGAGACGACGAGAAGAGCGACGGAUGCGUCACAGAGAACAGAAAGCUGACGAGCUUUCUCGAUGAGACCGUUGCGACGUUUGGAGAAGGUGACUUGUCGGCUACUUUUGUUCUCAAUUCGCUUGAUUUCUAGUUUUUUUCUCCCCAUGGCUUCUGUCUCCGAGAGGGCUUUAUUCCCUAAUUUGAUCCUCAGGUUGGGUUCGAAGUCGCCGGAGAUACUAAGCGUUUUUCUCUUUCCUUUUUUUUUUCUAUUUUUUUUCUAUUUUUUUUAUUUCUUUCUAUUUUUUGUGCCUAUCUACUUUUUCUUCGUUGGGCAAGAUUUUUUUUUUUUUUGGGGUAAACGAGAGUGAUGAAAAUAAAAUAUGAGACUAAAAACGUUGCGUUUUGAAGACAAGGUAGCCACGUGUACCGCAUGACGAGCGCAUUUGCUGCUCUUGCAUUACCUUUCUUUGGUAAAUGAAAACUAUCUACCCUCCCCUGCGGAUUCAACUAUCGUAGAAAGAGCUCUAAACCCCCACUCU
rnacentral:lncRNA from 1 species